CCUUAGUAACGGCGAGUGAAGCGGCAUCAGCUCAAAUUUGAAAUCUGGCGCAAGCCCGAGUUGUAAUUUGUAGAGGAUGAUUCGGCAAAGUCUAGGUUCAAGUCUUCUGGAAGGAAGCGCCAUUGAGGGUGAGAGCCCCGUAGAGCUGUUGACUGCGCCAUGUGAAUCUCCUUCGAAGAGUCGAGUUGUUUGGGAAUGCAGCUCAAAACGGGUGGUAAAUUCCAUCUAAAGCUAAAUAUUGSCCAGAGACCGAUAGCGCMCAAGUAGAGUGAUCGAAAGAUGAAAASCACUUUGGAAAGAGAGUGAAACAGUACGUGAAAUUGUUGAAAGGGAAGCGCUUGCGACCAGACUUGAUUUUUCAGUUCACCGGUUCAUUUGGACUGGGUACUUCUGAUUGAUCAGGCCAGCAUCAGUUCGAGCGGUUGGAAAAAAGCAUUGGGAACGUGGCUCCUCGGAGUGUUAUAGCCCUUUGCAGAAUACAACCAGUUUGGACUGAGGUCAGCCAUUGUAGGAUGCUGGCGUAAUGGUUGCUAGCGGCCCGUCUUGAAACACGGACCAAGGAGUCUAACAUCCAUGCGAGUGUUUGGAUUUGAAAUCCGCACGCGUAAUGAAAGUGAACGGAGGUGAGAGCUACGGCGCAUCAUCGACCGAUCCUGAUGUACUCGGAAGGAUUUGAGUAUGAGCAUGGCUGUUGGGACCCGAAAGAUGGUGAACUAUGCGUGAAUAGGGCGAAGCCAGAGGAAACUCUGGUGGAGGCUCGCAGCGGUUCUGACGUGCAAAUCGAUCGUCAAAUUUGCGUAUAGGGGCGAAAGACUUAUCGAACCAUCUAGUAGCUGGUUCCUGCCGAAGUUUCCCUCAGGAUAGCAGUAACGAAUUCAGUUUUAUGAGGUAAAGCGAAUGAUUAGAGGCAUGGGGGAAGAAACUUCCUUCACCUAUUCUCAAACUUUAAAUAUGUAAGAAGUCCUUGUCACUUAAUUGGACGUGGACAUUUGAAUGUGCGUUACUAGUGGGCCAUUUUUGGUAAGCAGAACUGGCGAUGCGGGAUGCUCCGAACGCGUGGUUAAGGUGCCGGAAUAUACGCUCAUCAGACACCACAAAAAGUGUUAGUGCAUCCAGACAGCAGGACGGUGGCCAUGGAAGUCGGAAUCCGCUAAGGAGUGUGUAACAACUCACCUGCCGAAUGCACUAGCCUUGAAAAUGGAUGGCGCUUAAGCGUAUUACCCAUACCGCGCCGUUCGACUUGAAGUUAUAGUCGAACGUGUAGGCAGGCGCGGAGGUUUGUGACGAAGCCU
rnacentral:rRNA from 1 species